rnacentral:lncRNA from 13 species
CAUGAAAGCCACCUAAUGAAGGCCGGUUGCCCUGCCAACCACGUCGCGUUCUGCUUAGGAGGAACCAAUCAGGACCUGAGUUCCCUCUAGGCGUCGGCCUGUCAUUUGUGAGGUGGGAGUCUGGGCACUGGCUCACAAAGCCCCGCCCCUCCAACUACCUCAUCCCACCUUUCAUUUAUUGGUAGCUGGUAGCAACUUUCUUUACUGUGAAUUAUAAACAUGAAUUCUGGUGAAAUUUCUGUAUCCUAACGUACCUCAAGUACAACCUGACUUUCAAAGACCCUCAUACCCCAUGGCCUCUGAGUUUUCUGGAAACUACACAGAAUGCAAUUUUGCAGGAUCCACUGGAUUUUUGCAGAAAGAUUUGAAACGAUGCUGCAGGAGCAUCUUACUGACAACUGCGCAGGAAGACCAGCUGAAACACGCAGAGCAGGAGCCCCUCCAAAGCCCAGGUGUGGUGGUUCUUGCUUGUCAGCCCAGCAACGUGGGAGGCCAAGGACGAGUUAGCAGCCUCUUCUAUCCUGAAGACGAUGACGUCAUUCAAACUAGACAACGCGAAGCCUGAUUGCCCUGCCUUGCUUGUUCCUUCCUAUGGAAACAGCAAUAAAGUUUCUUGCCCAUGUUUCCCCCUUUCCUCU